CCUACGGGGGGCAGCAGUGAGGAAUAUUGGUCAAUGGGCGGGAGCCUGAACCAGCCAAGCCGCGUGAGGGAAGAAGGUACAGCGUAUCGUAAACCUCUUUUGUCAGGGAACAAAGGCGGGGACUAGUCCCCGGAUGAGGGUACCUGAAGAAAAAGCAUCGGCUAACUCCGUGCCAGCAGCCGCGGUAAUAGGGGGGAGGCGAGCGGUAUCCGGAUGUAUGGGGUUAAACGGGUGCGCAGGCGGCUUGUUAAGUCAGCGGUAAAAGCCAGGGGCUAAACCCCGGCGAGCCGUUGAUACUGGCGGGCUGGAGUUGGAGAGAAGUACGCGGAAUGCGCGGUGUAGCGGUGAAAUGCUUAGAUAUCGCGCAGAACCCCGAUUGCGAAGGCAGCGUACCGGCUCCACACUGACGCUGAGGCACGAAAGCGUGGGUAGCGAACAGGAUUAGAUACCCGUGUAGUC
rnacentral:rRNA from 1 species